CUGCAGUCAAAGCUGGUCGGAAGCCAAAGUGCGAGUGGUGGUAACUGCCAGUUCUGGAAAGGAACGCUGGGCGUACUUUCUCUUUCAAGUAGCACACAGAAGUUUUCAUUUGUCCUAAGAAAGUGUCCAACAGUGUCCCACCUAGACAGGUUCUGCAGAUGAAAUGCCUCAAGAUACAAUAUGUCCCCUAAAAACCCUGACGUUGUUCGGUUUCCCUAGACGACACUGGUGUGAAUGAAGGGGGAUGCCAUGGCUGAUGUUUGGCGUUCUUGUGUAGGGUGGGGAAAGGUAUUUCCAGCAACCUGGUUCACCUCUGAGGCCACCUCUCUGAGGAACGCCACCAUCUGCUACCACUCUUUCAAACUGAAACCUCAGCUGACCUCGGCUCUGGGGAGAUGCCCAGGCACAGCCCACUCGAACAUGACAAAGCGAAAAACAGACAUUCACUCCCAGCCUGGUGGUUUCACCUCCAGAUCUCAGACAUAAGAUUAACUCAGGUUCCGACUGUGCUAUUCUAGAAAAGACAAGAACAACAGACUCCUUAAGCAGGCUAGCCCAGGCAUGUUCUCAUGGCACGGUGGAGAGACACUACAGAGGAAGUGGAAUCAUGCAGGCUAUUCAACCUUCCAAGUGUGAGAUGUUGCUAACUACCAUCCCGUUGGCCAAACUCUGCCACCCUCACAAUUAGAUCCUGGGACCAGUUUUGAGCACGUUCUACCCUGCAACUGCUGGAGGCCUUCUGGCUGCCAUACCAUGCCGUCAGAUGAGAGUCAGCUACCCCGAAUCAUUUGUUUUUCAAGGCUUUCAGAGAGUUAAAAUCAGAUCAGCUCCCCAAUCUUUGUAAUUGCCGUUACCCCCCAUUCCAUUCCAGGGUCAUAGAUGCCACAUAACCCAGUGUCUCACCUUCUACUUGUACCUGGAAGGGUGAGAGUCUUAGUAAGUGUGAUGCUACUGCAUGCGAGGGGUUAUCGCCACCACACUGGAAAGGCCCAUCCAGAGAGCCUGCUUUCUAGGACCGCCGCCACCCGCUCCCCUAGCCUUGGUUCUCUGAAAGCAGAAUGUGAGACAAAGACUGUGUCAGCUGGUUUACUUGGGAGUGCUCUCCAUGAGCAGGAGUCAGGACCCAGAGCAAUAAAACAGAUGCCUACGAAGCCAAUAGAAGGAUACAAUGUUUCACAAAGGCUGCUGCCUCCACUCCUACUGACACUGAGUGUCAUGCACUGGC
rnacentral:lncRNA from 1 species